CUGACGUGUGUUAAGGCGACGUUUAAUCAUGAAGCCAUACCGGUUGCAACAGGCAAAGGCUCUUCAUGCAGGAAGCAAAGGAAAGUGUGUAGAAUUUAGUGAUGCAAUGUUAAAGAACAUGGAGGACAACCCCCUCUUAUCGGGUUUGAUUUUUAAUGAUGACGCAACAUUUCAUCUAAGAGGUGAAGUUAACUGUCAAAAUGUGCACCUAUGGAGAUUAUGGAAUCCAUGCAAAGCUGUAGCGAAUAACCAUAAUUCCCCGAAAGCAAACGUGUUUUGUGCAAACGUAUCUCGAAAUGUUGCAGAACUGUCUCUUUCCACAUCUUAAUAAAGAUUUUGAUGACUUAAUUUUUCCACAAGAAAAAUGUGCAGUAAUGGCUCCCAUUGGCGUGUUAGGCACCCAUCCAGUGUAUUUUUACUGCUUAUUGUUUGAAAGGAAGAGCUUCUUUUCAAUACGAGUAUUACAAUCUUCCAUCCCAGGACUCCUCUCUAGAAAUUCAAAGUGGUCGUUUGGCGGUCUGGCACUCGAAGGUUGACCGACUGCUGUAUGCACUG